rnacentral:rRNA from 1 species
CCUAGGGGAGGCUGCAGUGGGGAAUAUUGGACAAUGGGCGAAAGCCUGAUCCAGCCAUGCCGCGUGUGUGAAGAAGGCCUUCGGGUUGUAAAGCACUUUCAGUGGGGAAGAAAGCCUUGGGGCUAAUACCCUCGAGGAAGGACAUCACCCACAGAAGAAGCACCGGCUAACUCCGUGCCAGCAGCCGCGGUAAUACGGAGGGUGCGAGCGUUAAUUGGAAUUACUGGGCGUAAAGCGCGCGUAGGCGGUCUGAUAAGCCGGUUGUGAAAGCCCCGGGCUCAACCUGGGAACGGCAUCCGGAACUGUCAGGCUAGAGUGCAGGAGAGGAAGGUAGAAUUCCCGGUGUAGCGGUGAAAUGCGUAGAGAUCGGGAGGAAUACCAGUGGCGAAGGCGGCCUUCUGGACUGACACUGACGCUGAGGUGCGAAAGCGUGGGUAGCAAACAGGAUUAGAUACCCGAGUAGUC